rnacentral:rRNA from 1 species
UACGGAGGGUGCGAGCGUUAAUCGGAAUUACUGGGCGUAAAGCGUACGCAGGCGGUCUGUUAAGUCAGAUGUGAAAUCCCCGGGCUCAACCUGGGAACUGCAUUUGAAACUGGCAGGCUAGAGUCUCGUAGAGGGGGGUAGAAUUCCAGGUGUAGCGGUGAAAUGCGUAGAGAUCUGGAGGAAUACCGGUGGCGAAGGCGGCCCCCCUGGACGAAGACUGACGCUCGGGUACGAAAGCGUGGGGAGCAAACAGG